UACAGAGGGGGCAAGCGUUGUUCGGAAUUACUGGGCGUAAAGGGCGCGUAGGCGGCCUUUUAAGUCGAACGUGAAAUCCCCGGGCUCAACCCGGGAACUGCGUCCGAUACUGGAAGGCUUGAGUCCGGGAGAGGGAUGUGGAAUUCCAGGUGUAGCGGUGAAAUGCGUAGAUAUCUGGAGGAACACCGGUGGCGAAGGCGGCAUCCUGGACCGGUAUUGACGCUGAGGCGCGAAAGCCAGGGGAGCAAACGGG
rnacentral:rRNA from 1 species